rnacentral:rRNA from 1 species
UGAAUACGAGAUGCUAUGGCGUCGAAGCAGUGUAUGUCAGACUUCCAAGAAAAGCUCGCAACGUCAUAAAUAAAGAAUGCCUGUACCAUAACCGACACAGGUGGGUAGGUAGAGUAUACUAAAGGGCGCGAGAUAACUCUCUCUAAGGAACUCGGCAAAAUAACUCCGUAACUUCGGGAGAAGGAGUGCCUUCUUUAAGAAGGUUGCAAUAACAAGAUCCAAGCAACUGUUUAUCAAAAACACAGGUCUCCGCUAAGUCGUAAGACGAUGUAUGGGGGCUGACGCCUGCCCAGUGCCAGAAGGUUAAAGAAGUUGGUUAGCUUUUGCGAAGCUGAUGACUGAAGCCCUGGUGAACGGCGGCCGUAACAAUAACGGUCCUAAGGUAGCGAAAUUCCUUGUCGGGUAAGUUCCGACCCGCACGAAAGGCGUAAUGAUUUGGAUACUGUCUCGGAGAGGGACUCGGUGAAAUAGACUUGUCUGUGAAGAUGCGGACUACCUGCACCAGGACAGAAAGACCCUAUGAAGCUUUACUGUAACUUGAAAUUGAAAUUGGACUUUAUUUGCGCAGUAUAGGUGGAAGGCGUUGAAAGUAAUCUUGCGGGAUUAGUGGAGCCAUCAGUGAGAUACCACUCCUAUAAUGUUAGAUUUCUAACUUUGGAUCAUGAUCUGGUCAAAGAACAGUUUCAGGCGGGCAGUUUGACUGGGGCGGUCGCCUCCCAAAUGGUAACGGAGGCGUACAAAGGUUUCCUCUGAACGGGUAGAAAUCGUAUCUAGAGUGUAAAGGCAUAAGGAAGCUUGACUGUGAGACCUACAAGUAGCAGGGACGAAAGUCGGUCUUAGUGAUCUGACGGUGCUGAGUGGAAAGGCCGUCACUCAACGGAUAAAAGUUACUCUAAGGAUAACAGGCUGAUCUCCCCCAAGAGUUCACAUCGACGGGGAGGUUUGGCACCUCGAUGUCGGCUCAUCGCAUCCUGGGGCGGUAGUACGUCCCAAGGGUUGGGCUGUUCGCCCAUGAAAGCGGUACGCGAGCUGGGUUCAGAACGUCGUGAGACAGUUCGGUCCAUAUCCGGUGUAGGCGUUAGAAUAUUGAGAGGAGCCUUCUUUAGUACGAGAGGACCGAGAAGGACAUACCUCUGGUGUACCAGUUAUCGUGCCAACGGUAAACGCUGGGUAGCUAUGUAUGGAGAGGAUAACCGCUGAAAGCAUCUAAGUGGGAAGCCCACCUCAAGAUGAGUAUUCUCAUC